UAAAACCUUGAAACCAUGAACUUAUAUUUUAUAUAUAUAUAUAUUUGUGUAACUGUUCCAUGUUCUAUUUCUAAAUGUGAUCUUAUGUAAUUUACUAUGUAAUUUACCUAUGUCUUGAUAAAGGGGCAGAUUGCCUCGAAAAUUCGACGAUUUACUUGUCUGUACUGUUGUCAUUACUACUUGACAAUAUUAUCCUUUAUCAAGACAAAGGUGAAUUACAUACGAACACAUAUAGACAUAGAACAUGGUUCAAACAACAACCAAUAUAUAUAUAUAUGUUGGAGUUUCCCUCCUAUUUUCGCUCAACUUUUGUUCCCCGUGAAAAUAUUUAGUUAUUUCUCAUUUUCCCGAAUUGUUUAAAGUAUUAACGUCCACGUUACUUGACCUUUGCCAGAUCCCUGUAUUCUACGACUCUAUUAUUCAUCAACCAAUGAUAUACAUUAAUUAUAUUACGGUCAUCUAGAUAAUGGUACUCGUCACAUAUCCCUUGUUUGACUGCAGAGGGAAUAAGAAUGGGCGUGCAUUGCAUGUGUUGUGUAAACCGUUUACAAAUGUAUGAAGUCUGGUUAUAUCGUGGUGUAGGGUGUACACAGUAUGGAGUCUGGUUAUAUCGUGGUGUAGGGUGUACACAGUAUGAAGUCUGGUUAUAUCGUGGUGUAGGGUGUACACUGUAUGAAGUUUGGUUAUAUCGCGGUGUAGGGUGUACACUGUAUGAAGUCUGGUUAUAUCGUGGUGUAGGGUGUACACUGUAUGACGUCUGGUUAUAUCGUGGUGUAGGGUGUACACUGUAUGAAGUCUUGUUAUAUCGUGGUGUAGGGUGUACACAGUAUGGAGUCUGGUUAUAUCGUGGUGUAGGGUGUACACAGUAUGAAGUCUGGUUAUAUCGUGGUGUAGGGUGUACACUGUAUAAAGUCUGGUUAUAUCGCGGUGUAGGGUGUACACAGUAUGACGUCUGGUUAUAUCGUGUUGUAGGGUGUACACAGUAUGAAGUCUGGUUAUAUCGUGGUGUAGGGUGUACACAGUAUGAAGUUUGGUUAUAUCGUGGUGAAGGGUGUACACAGUAUGAAGUCUGGUUAUAUCGUGGUGUAGGGUGUACACAGUAUGAAGUCUGGUUAUAUCGUGGUGUAGGGUGUACACAGUAUGAAGUCUGGUUAUAUCGUGGUGUAGGGUGUACACUGUAUGAAGUCUGGUUAUAUCGUGGUGUAGGGUGUACACAGUAUGACGUCUGGUUAUAUCGUGGUGUAGGGUGUACACUGUAUGACGUCUGGUUAUAUCGUGGUGUAGUGUGUGUACACAGUAUGAAGUCUGGUUAUAUCGUGGUGUAGGGUGUACACUGUAUGAAGUCUGGUUAUAUCGUGGUGUGGGGUGUACACAGUAUGACGUCUGGUUAUAUCGUGGUGUGGGGUGUACACAGUAUGAAGUCUGGUUAUAUCGUGGUGUAGGGUGUACACAGUAUGAAGUCUGGUUAUAUCGUGGUGUAGGGUGUACACAGUAUGAAGUCUGGUUAUAUCGUGGUGUAGGGUGUACACUGUAUGAAGUCUGGUUAUAUCGUGGUGUAGGGUGUACACUGUAUGAAGUCUGGUUAUAUCGUGGUGUAGGGUGUACACAGUAUGAAGUCUGGUUAUAUCUCUAUAAGUCUAUAUAGUUAUAUGUCUAGGGCGUAAAAUAAUUCACCUUUGUUAGGACAUACACAACAUGGACAUAAAUAAUUCACCGAAGAUAGUACAUAAACGCCAAUACCGUGGGAAAAAUCAAACCUUUUUAUCAUUUCUUUAAUAUUUAAUCAAAGAAAAUGUAUCAAACCAGCCAUCAUACAUUGCACGCCAUGAACACCCAUGUAACCAGCCUUCAGUACAUGUUGUAUGUGUUCUAUCUACGGUGAAGUAUUUCUGUACAUGUUGUAUGUGUUCUAUCUACGGUGAAGUAUUUCUGUACA